rnacentral:rRNA from 1 species
AGCAGCCGCGGUAAUUCCAGCUCCAAUAGCGUAUAUUAAAGUUGUUGCAGUUAAAAAAGCUCGUAGUUGAAUUUCGGGGUUAGUAGGUUGGUCAUGCCUCUGGUAUGUACUGGUCUCACUGAUUCCUCCUUCCUGAUGAACCUUAAUGCCAUUAAUUUGGUGUUUUGGGGAAUUUGGACUGUUACUUUGAAAAAAUUAGAGUGUUUAAAGCAAGCUAACGCUUGAAUACAUUAGCAUGGAAUAAUGAAAUAGGACGUUCGAUCCUAUUUUGUUGGUUUCUAGGAUUGACGUAAUGAUUAAUAGGGAUAGUUGGGGGCAUUAGUAUUCAAUUGUCAGAGGUGAAAUUCUUGGAUUUAUUGAAGACUAACUACUGCGAAAGCAUUUGCCAAGGAUGUUUUCAUUAAUCAAGAACGAAAGUUAGGGGAUCGAAGACGAUCAGAUACCGUCGUAGUCUUAACCAUAAACUAUGCCGACUAGGGAUCGGAUGAUGUUAAUUUUUUAAUGACUCA